GCUAUGACGGUUUGUGGGUUGUGCCACUGCUCGUAUCAGGGACAGACGCUGCUUCAGAGCGCUGGGAGGAUUGGAGCAGCGGAAGUGCUUAGGUCUAAACCCAGAACGAAUAAUUGGUGCCACAGACAGCAGUGCAGAAUUAAUGUUCCUCAUGAAACGGAAAGAUUUAGAUGACGUCCACUCGGUGCUGGCAAAAGAGGCAAAUAUGAAGUGUCCUCAAAUUGUAAUUGCUUUUUAGAAGAGAAACUAACUUGGCAUUCUUAUCCAGAAGAUGAAGAGCUCGGUAAUUGUUUUCAUUGC